CCUACGGGUGGCAGCAGUGGGGAAUAUUGCACAAUGGGGGAAACCCUGAUGCAGCGACGCCGCGUGAGUGAAGAAGUAUUUCGGUACGUAAAGCUCUAUCAGCAGGGAAGAAAAUGACGGUACCUGACUAAGAAGCCCCGGCUAACGACGUGACAGCAGCCGCGGUAAUACGUAGGGGGCAAGCGUGAUCCGGAUUUACAGGGGGUAAAGGGAGCGUAGACGGCAGGGCAAGUCUGGAGUGAAAGCCCAUGGCUUAACCAUGGAACUGCUUUUGAAACUGUGUGGCUAGAGUGCAGAAGAGGUGAGCGGAAUUCCUAGUGUAGCGGUGAAAUGCGUAGAUAUUAGGAGGAACACCAGUGGCGAAGGCGGCUUACUGGACUGUAACUGACGUUGAGGCUCGAAAGCGUGGGGAGCAAACAGGAUUAGAUACCCUUGUAGUC
rnacentral:rRNA from 1 species